AAAGGAAUAGACGGGGGCCCGCACAAGCGGUGGAGCAUGUGGUUUAAUUCGACGCAACGCGAAGAACCUUACCUGGCCUUGACAUCCAGAGAACUUUCCAGAGAUGGAUUGGUGCCUUCGGGAACUCUGAGACAGGUGCUGCAUGGCCGUCGUCAGCUCGUGUCGUGAGAUGUUGGGUUAAGUCCCGUAACGAGCGCAACCCCUAUCCUUGGUUGCUAGCAGGUAAUGCUGAGAACUCCAGGGAGACUGCCGGUGACAAACCGGAGGAAGGUGGGGAUGACGUCAGGUCAUCAUGGCCCUUACGGCCAGGGCUACACACGUGCUACAAUGGCGCGUACAGAGGGCUGCCAACUCGCGAGAGUGAGCCAAUCCCUUAAAACGCGUCGUAGUCCGGAUCGGAGUCUGCAACUCGACUCCGUGAAGUCGGAAUCGCUAGUAAUCGCGAAUCAGAAUGUCGCGGUGAAUACGUUCCCGGGCCUUGUACACACCGCCCGU
rnacentral:rRNA from 1 species